GAUGAAGAACGUAGCGAAAUGCGAUACUUGGUGUGAAUUGCAGAAUCUCGUGAACCAUCGAGUCUUUGAACGCAAGUUGCGCCCGAAGCCAUUAGGCCGAGGGCACGCCUGCCUGGGCGUCACACGUCGUUGCCCCCCCAUCUACUCCUUCGGGAUUGCGGGGGGCGGAUGAUGGCCUCCCGUGCGCCUCGUCGCGCGGUUGGCAUAAAUGCCAAGUCCUCGGCGACGCACGCCACGACAAUCGGUGGUUGCGAAACCUCGGUUGCCCGUCGUGUGCGGUCGUCGCGCAUCGAGGGCUCGAAAAAAUUGUCGGGCUCCGGCUCGGCUUUCAACGCGACCCCAGGUCAGGCGGGGUUACCCGCUGAAUUUAAGCAUAUCAAUAAGCGGAGGA
rnacentral:misc_RNA from 1 species